rnacentral:piRNA from 1 species
UACUCUUUGAUACUGAGCUUCAUACUGUCU